UCCAUCUUCAAUAUCACUUUCU
rnacentral:miRNA from 1 species